rnacentral:piRNA from 1 species
GAGUCAUUUCGUUUUACAGGGGGAAAA